GACUGUACCCGAAUAAGAAGGUCCGGCUAACUUCGUGCCAGCAGCCGCGGUAAUACGAAGGGACCUAGCGUAGUUCGGAAUUACUGGGCUUAAAGAGUUCGUAGGUGGUUAAAAAAGUUGGUGGUGAAAUCCCAGAGCUUAACUCUGGAACUGCCAUCAAAACUUUUUAGCUAGAGUAUGAUAGAGGAAAGCAGAAUUUCUAGUGUAGAGGUGAAAUUCGUAGAUAUUAGAAAGAAUACCAAUUGCGAAGGCAGCUUUCUGGAUCAUUACUGACACUGAGGAACGAAAGCAUGGGUAGCGAAGAGGAUUAGAUACCCUCGUAGUCCAUGCCGUAAACGAUGUGUGUUAGACGUUGGAAAUUUAUUUUCAGUGUCGCAGCGAAAGCAAUAAACACACCGCCUGGGGAGUACGACCGCAAGGUUAAAACUCAAAUGAAUUGACGGGGACCCGCACAAGUAGUGGAGCAUGUGGUUUAAUUCGAAGAUACGCGCAGAACCUUACCAACACUUGACAUGUUCGUCGCGACUCUAAGAGAUUAGAGUUUUCGGUUCGGCCGGACGAAACACAGGUGCUGCAUGGCUGUCGUCAGCUCGUGUCGUGAGAUGUUGGGUUAAGUCCCGCAACGAGCGCAACCCUCACUUUUAGUUGCCAUCAUUUAGUUGGGCACUCUGAAAGAACUGCCAGUGAUAAGCUGGAGGAAGGUGGGGAUGACGUCAAGUCCUCAUGGCCCUUACGUGUUGGGCUACACACGUGCUACAAUGGUAUUUACAACAGGAAGCAAGACGGCAACGUUAAGCAAAUCCCUAAAAAAUACCUCAGUUCGGAUUGCACUCUGCAACUCGAGUGCAUGAAGCUGGAAUUACUAGUAAUCGUGGAUCAGCGUGCCACGGUGAAUACGUUCCCGGGUCUUGUACACACCGCCCGUCACACCAUGGGAGUUGGUUCUACCUUAAGGCAAAGUUUAAAACCUUUGACCACGGUAUAGUCAGCGACUGGGGGUGAAGUCGU
rnacentral:rRNA from 1 species